rnacentral:sRNA from 1 species
ACCCACUCCGCUGUCUUCAGCUGGAGAAGCAGCUCCUUUUUCCUAUUCCUGACCUCGGACAGAGUUUUGCAGAACAGGUGUCAGGUGUGAAAUUGCUGAGCGCGGGCAGGGUGGGGAGUGGGAGUGGGGAGAAGCGGGACAAAGAUCUUGGCUGAGGUUAUCCGGGAGCUGGAGCAGCUGCGAGCCAGAGUACUAGGUUGUCCUGAUGUCUGAAAACCGCUCCAUCCCUGUUGGCCUUCCAUGCUGCUUUCACUAGAUUGCAUUUUUCUGCUCAGAAGCUUGUUUACUGAACUUUUUGUAAUAGCUCUGCGCCCGGGUAUGACCAUGGACAAGAUAUUUACCCUCCCUGGGCUACAGUUACCAUAUGUGCAAAGUGAGGAUAGGGAUAAAUAAGAUCGCUAUGUCCCUGCCAGUGGCAACAUUCUGUGAAUCUGAGUGUGUCAAAUCAGGAAAUAAUGGGGGUCGCUGGCCUCUCAGCCAGGGCACUGUACUUUCGAAUCUGUGAUUGUUUUCACUUCUCUGGCAGCCACACCCCACUGCUGAUUCACAGACCCCAAAGUCUUUUCACAUGAAUUGUUAGGAAUGAUCUUUCCCAUCCUGUAUUUGUAGCACUUAAAAAAAACAGUAUAGGAGUCUGCAUUCAUCCUUGUUAUAGUCAUCUGUAAGAUAUGACCCGUUUCUUCCAGUUCGUCAAGACAUGCUUUUGGUUGUGGAAUCUGCCACCUCAUGUAUUAACUACCCCCUUGAAAUUUCAUGUCCUCUUUGAGUUUGAUGAGCGGUCUUCAGUGUCUUCUUCUGCCAUUCCUAAAAGUAAUGAUCAAUAAAGAAACAUAUAUCCCAUCACCACAGAUCUCCCUGUGAACUACUGUGACCCCCAGUAAUCAACAUUUGAAGGUUUAGUUGCUUAAGUAUGUAUGAAGUCACCCUGCCAUCUGGUCAGCAUUUCUAGCAAAGGUGUCUUGAAGACCUUGGCAGCUGGAUCUUGAAAUGCAGUGUUUAGCUAUUGUGAGGGAAGCAGAGAGAUGUGCCAUUUUUCUUAGGAGUGUUUGCUGAGCAUUGCCUGUGCCAGCUCCUGUGCUCGUUCUGAGAGGGUAAGUAAGUGAUCAGGAGCUUGACCCAGUGGAGCUUGAAGUCUAGUGAGAGGCGGACACAAAGCGUCUGAACACACUCUUCAUACAGAGGAGACUUUAAUAACUUUGGAGGCACUGUGAAGGUUUAACUAACGGAGACUUAACUAAUUCGUUGGGGUGGGCCACACCUCAGAAAAGGUUUCGAGGACUAGGUGAAGCAUAAGUAGAGUCUUGCAGGAUAAGGAGGACAUCCCCAAGGGAAGAGGAGUGAGAAUUAUGUUUCAGUUAAAGAGCAUGCAAACACUGAACCACAGAGGCGGGUUUGGGAGUGGUGAUUGAGUUUGUCGAAGCUGUCUCCUCCAUCAUACUGGGCUCUGCCAGUGUGGACAGCACAAGCUUAGCUCUCUCUGUGGGUUUUUCCGAGCAAGAUCAAGUGCCCUCUUGUGUUCUGUAGGGGAGGCACACGAUCCAAGGUCCUUUUAGUCUCAGAGGAUGGGAAGAUCCUGGCAGAAGCAGAUGGACUGAGCACAAACCACUGGGUAAAAACCAUACUGAGGGGAUCAGAGGGCUUGGUUCUGAUUUUAUUCUCUGUAAUUCCUGUUGAGGUGGUGGCUGGGACUCACAGAGCAGCCUGUGGGGGCAACAUAGCUUCUGUAAGCCUUUGUAACUCCUUCUUCCCUUGAUUGGGGCCAGCUGAUCGGGACAGACAAGUGUGUGGAGAGGAUCAAUGAGAUGGUGAACAGGGCCAAACGGAAAGCAGGGGUGGAUCCUCUGGUACCGCUGCGAAGCUUGGUGAGUCUGGGGUGGAGCCUGGGAAUUCAGCCAUCAGUGACACUGAGACAGCUAGCAAGUUUGGACUAGAUGAGUUUGAUGACUGCAGAGGGAAAGACCUCCAAGACUUAGUCCCUGGUGUCAAAACUGUCAUAAUCUCACCCAGUCUCAUGGCUUCAGUUGCCACCUACAAACUACAAAUGUGUUGGAAGAGCACAGGGCUUUGGAGAGCUGCUGAGACCUUGGUUUGAAUCUCAGCUUUGCUGCUCAGUAUCUGCAUAACCCUGUGUAGGUUACUCACCUUCUCUAAGCCUCAGUUUCCUCAUUUGGAAAAUGUGAAUAGUAGCUACCUCAGAGUUGUUGGGAAAGUAAAAUGGCAUGAUACAUUGCAAAGUGGUUAGUAUAGAGCCUGACCCAUAAGCACUCAUUCAGUGUUAGCUAUUAUUUACUCCUGGUUCAGAUCUUUCUCCCAAGUUGCGGUAGCUCCGGCUACUCCCUGGACAUAUAUGUGAGAUGUUCUGCAGACACAGGCAAACCCCAUGUAUGCCAAACCAAGCUUACCUCUCUCCAUCUCCCCUCACCUUGCCCCGCUGCCUGAUCUUUCUGUUAAGAGCACUACUGCCCUUCCAAGCUCCAAAGCUGGCAUUGUUGAAUCCCCUCUUUCUUCUGUCCAUCCCCAGUCCAGGUUGUUCUUAUAACCACAGCCUUCUGAGGGGUCAUUGUGUGGGGAGAAAGGAGGACUGGGGCUGGGUGAACAGGGUAUGGCCAGAUGGGGAGAACAGGAAUCAGGCCUCAGGAGGGGGCGGGGGUUGAGACAAGAGCUGGGGCUGGGGCUUUGCACACUCGCUCACCUCCCGCGUGGCCUAGGGCCUAUCUCUGAGCGGUGGGGACCAGGAGGACGCGGGGAGGAUCCUGAUCGAGGAGCUGAGGGACCGAUUUCCCUACCUGAGUGAAAGCUACUUAAUCACCACCGAUGCCGCCGGCUCCAUCGCCACAGCUACACCGGAUGGUGGAGUUGUGCUCAUAUCUGGAACAGGCUCCAACUGCAGGCUCAUCAACCCUGAUGGCUCCGAGAGUGGCUGCGGCGGCUGGGGCCAUAUGAUGGGUGAUGAGGGUUCAGGUGAGCUCACUGACUGGCCCAGCUCCAGGUCCUGGAUCUGCUCCUUCCUUCACUCCCUGUCUUUCUCUCCUUAGCCUUGGCUCACUGAGCCCUUGGGGCUUCCUGGGGACAACUCCUGAACCUGGCCAUUCCAUGUGCAGGAUCAUGACUGAGAUCAUAGAGGUGCGAAUGCUGGAUGAGCUGCUGACCCUGCUCUCCAGCAGUGACUUGCACCCAGGACUCAGAUUCAUCCCUCAGCACAGGGGCCUGCCUGUGUUGACUUGCUGUCCUUAGGGAGGAGUUGAAACUGAGGGUAAGGCCAUAGAUGCCAGGAGAUGCCAUACCAGUCUGCUAGGGGAAAGGGUGUAGAAGCCCUUCCAACAUCACCUCUCUCUAGGUAGUGUGUGUUUAUUUUCAUAGGGGCCCUUGAGGUCCAGUUCAUGGCAGUGACUCCAGUGGUAUUUGUGACAACAGACUGACCUUGCCUUAUCCUUGGGUAGGAGCUGGUGUGACACAGCCUCACCUAUUCUGUUUUCCCCCUCCAACUUUCCCUUAUCUUGGUCAGUCAGAUACAGUUUGAUAGAGACCCUCCCACACCCCUCUCCCACCCCCUGCCACCCCUGGCUGGGAAUCAGGAAACCUAAUUUGUAUAAAACUCAAGCAGAUCACUAAUCUGUCUGGAUCUGAGUUUCCUCCUCGUGAGCUCAGGAUGACUGCUCCCAUCUUCUUAGCCCUCUCUGCUCCCUGCAGCCUACUGGAUCGCACACCAAGCAGUGAAAAUAGUGUUUGACUCCAUUGACAACCUAGAGGCGGCUCCUCAUGAUAUCGGCUACGUCAAACAGGCCAUGUUCCACUAUUUCCAGGUGCCAGAUCGGCUAGGGAUACUCACUCACCUGUAUAGGGACUUUGAUAAAUGCAGGUUUGCUGGGUUUUGCCGGAAAAUUGCAGAAGGUGCUCAGCAGGGAGACCCCCUUUCCCGCUAUAUCUUCAGGAAGGCUGGGGAGAUGCUGGGCAGACACAUCGUAGCAGUGUUGCCCGAGAUUGACCCGGUCUUGUUCCAGGGCGAGAUUGGACUCCCCAUCCUGUGCGUGGGCUCUGUGUGGAAGAGCUGGGAGCUGCUGAAGGAAGGUUUUCUUUUGGCGCUGACCCAGGGCAGAGAGAUCCAGGCUCAGAACUUCUUCUCCAGCUUCACCCUGAUGAAGCUGAGGCACUCCUCCGCUCUGGGUGGGGCCAGCCUAGGGGCCAGGCACAUCGGGCACCUCCUCCCCAUGGACUAUAGUGCCAAUGCCAUUGCCUUCUAUUCCUACACCUUCUCCUAGGGGGCUGGUCCCGGCUCCACCCCCUCCAAGCUCAGUGGACACUGGGUCUGGAAGGAAGGAGUCUUUUGCUUCCUUUCUCCUUUUUACAAAAACAAACAUAGAAGAAAAUAAAUGCACUUUAUCCACUC